rnacentral:lncRNA from 1 species
CAUUUUUUCCUCCUUGUGUUCUUGAAGUUUUGGAGAAUCACACAUGUUCUUAAGUGUUUUAUUCUCUACAAGGCUUGAUUAAUCUUACAAAUCAUUUGUCGCGAGACCCUUUAAGCACCGAAAUUAUUACCGAGAGGGGGCAAAUAUCGUAUGAGGACAACGAUUUAAUGUCAUGUUUGAGCCUUCAUUUUCAUCAUAAUUUUUGAUUCGUCUUCAUCUUUUUGAUAUUAUCUAUAUCUUGGUUCUUCUCCAUUUUUUUGAUUGAUGUUGAAUAUUUCCUAACAAUCUCAAAUGAUAUUUGACUCUAGAGAAUGAAACCACUUUGGCGAUAGUCAAGUUGAAGAAUUAUAAUUGAUCGAUUCUAUCAUUUUGAUGGGAUGAAUUCUGCCAAAGAAAUCUGGAAUGUUUGGAAAGAAAGGAUUGAAUCCGGUUUGCAGCAAAAAGCAGAAACUCCAGAUCUCAAGAUAAGUGCUAUAUAAUUCAUUUAAUUCGUUAAAUGAUAGAUGAUGGUUAUAUUGUUGAAUGGACAAAUAUGCAUGCCUGCCUAUGUGUGUAUUUCCAUAAUUGACCAUGAUUCUGUAUGCAUAAUUUGCAUGGACAAAACGGACCAAAAUUUUGCUCACAAAUCUGAAUUUAGUAUAUGUCUUGGGAAUAAAAUGUAUGCACAACAUUGGCAUAAUUCUCCAACAAUCUUAAAGAUGAAGUUUGUUUGCUGUGCAUAAAACAUUUUGUUAGAAAUUGACAGUAUCACGCACUGAAUCUCAUAUUGAUUCCUGUUUCUAUAUCCGAAUAUACUGAAGAAAGAUUUUAUAAUAUGCAUAUAGCUGUCAAUAGUGUUUUAUUGGAAAAGUCAUUUGUAUUAAAUCUGAUAGAUUCUUGUUUCGAUCUUAUAUGUGGCUACAAUUAUUAAACGAAGAUGGUUUAUCUUUAAACAAAUGCAUACGGCAUCGAAACGGUGCAAUUCCAAUAUUGUAUCCAUCUAUUCUAUUUGUUUUCUAGUUUAUUCAUGCCACCAAUGGAGAAAAUGCAUAUAAGACUUGUAUUAUUUAUUUAUUUGGUAGAUAAUGGAUGGCCGCAAAUGCGUGCCUCACUGCCUCUGAUUUUAAAACGGUUUGGCCGAUGACUUUGAAUGUUUUGUUUGUCUAUAUUCCAUUGGCCAAUUGUAUAUUUGCACAAGUCUCUACAUAAAUGGAAUGAAUGCAUGUAAGUGUUAUAAAAUUCAUUUACACAUAGAGACAGUUAAUUCAUUUAUGAAAAAGUGGGGUCAUGAACAUGCGUAAUUAUGAAUUCCAGUUUAUAUGCAAGAUUAUGGACUUUAAGAUACAUGUGAAAUUAGACAGUAGAUCCCAAUGACUGUUAGUGGUAGAUGUAGGCUGUCAAAUCAAGUUUUAAUUCCUUCCAUUUCAAGACGGUUUGGAGACACGUGGGUGACUAUUUUCCUUCUAUGUUGGAAAAUACUAGCAGCGAUCUUUGUUGUGAUAAUAAGAUUGCAAAUAUAGAUGAGAUAAACUUUAUAACUGUUUGGAAUAUGAGAUAUAAUUUAUAAAUGUUUGGAAUAUAAGUUGUUAUUCCUUAAUUUUUAUUUUUUUAUUUUUUAUUUUUAUUUUCUAUGUUCUCAUAAAUUUCUGGAAUGCAUCCCCCAAUCCAAAAUUCGCAAAACCACUUCUUUGAUAGCCAUGGAAGGAAUAAAAUGGAACUCAAUUGUGUGGUUCCUAGUAAGGCUUCUUUGGGGGCUACUGAGAACAUAUUCAUGGCUGAGCAGUGGUGAGAGGCUAUGGAGCCACCGGCUUAUUACAAUAGGGAGUAUGCGAAAUAGGUGUGAUAUAUUUAAUAUCACCAUUAACAAAUUCAUGAAGAUGGGAUCACAGUACGUGGUCAUACAAAUUGGAUAAACUUGUUGGUCAAAAUGGCCUAGUUGGUAUGUGCAAGUGCUUAUUUGAUCUUGACAAAUGUACGUGCAUGAAGAA